rnacentral:tRNA from 1 species
GAAAAUAUAGCUCAGUGGUAGAGCACAUGCUUAGCAUGCAUGAGGUCCUGGGUUCAAUCCCCAGUAUCUCCA